rnacentral:lncRNA from 1 species
UCAGUGAGGGCAGUGUCCCACAGGGGACCAAGUGCGAGGGACCCCAAAGCCUGGACCAUUGGCUGCCCUGCAGUUUAUCCUGGCCAAGAAUCGCCCAUCCUAUGGAGACAAGGUCGUGUUGUAAAGGAGUUGACCCCUCCAGCUCCCUGUCUCACCUGGACACCCACCUAGGAGGCCAGCCAGAGGCAAGAACCCCAGCCUCAGGGAAUGGAGAGAGGGUGAGGCAAGAUAAUCCACUAGUAAUCCGGGAUGUGGAAGGCAGAAGCCACAGCGCCCACCGAGAGGAUGUGGCUUGUGAGCUGUAAGGCGCAGAGAAAUUUAAAUAACAGAUGUUUAAACAACCUUCCCUGCAUGACGCUUGGUGCAGUGACCCCUCUGCUGUGAUGGGUUGCAGCUUAAAAAUAGCCCACAAUGAACCGCUCUGAGCCCCAA